UUUUGGACAAUGGGCGAAAGCCUGAUCCAGCAAUGCCGCGUGUGUGAAGAAGGCCUUCGGGUUGUAAAGCACUUUUGUCCGGAAAGAAAUCCGCCUGGCUAAUACCCGGGCGGGAUGACGGUACCGGAAGCAUAAGCACCGGCUAACUACGUGCCAGCAGCCGCGGUAAUACGUAGGGUGCGAGCGUUAAUCGGAAUUACUGGGCGUAAAGCGUGCGCAGGCGGCUUUGUAAGACAGAUGUGAAAUCCCCGGGCUCAACCUGGGAACUGCAUUUGUGACUGCAAGGCUAGAGUGCGUCAGAGGGAGGUGGAAUUCCGCGUGUAGCAGUGAAAUGCGUAGAGAUGCGGAGGAACACCGAUGGCGAAGGCAGCCUCCUGGGAUGACACUGACGCUCAUGCACGAAAGCGUGGGGAGCAAACAGG
rnacentral:rRNA from 1 species